GUGGGGAAUAUUGCACAAUGGGCGAAAGCCUGAUGCAGCGACGCCGCGUGAGCGAAGAAGUAUUUCGGUAUGUAAAGCUCUAUCAGCAGGGAAGAUAAUGACGGUACCUGACUAAGAAGCACCGGCUAAAUACGUGCCAGCAGCCGCGGUAAUACGUAUGGUGCAAGCGUUAUCCGGAUUUACUGGGUGUAAAGGGAGCGCAGGCGGUGCGGCAAGUCUGAUGUGAAAGCCCGGGGCUCAACCCCGGUACUGCAUUGGAAACUGUCGUACUAGAGUGUCGGAGUGGUAAGCGGAAUUCCUAGUGUAGCGGUGAAAUGCGUAGAUAUUAGGAUGAACACCAGUGGCGAAGGCGGCUUACUGGACGAUAACUGACGCUGAGGCUCGAAAGCGUGGGGAGCAAACAGGAUUAGAAACCCUGGUAGUCC
rnacentral:rRNA from 1 species